rnacentral:rRNA from 1 species
CUACGGGAGGCAGCAGUGGGGAAUAUUGGACAAUGGGCGCAAGCCUGAUCCAGCCAUGCCGCGUGAGUGACGAAGGCCUUAGGGUUGUAAAGCUCUUUUGUCGGGGACGAUAAUGACGGUACCCGAAGAAUAAGCUCCGGCCAACUUCGUGCCAGCAGCCGCGGUAAUACGAAGGGAGCUAGCGUUGUUCGGAAUCACUGGGCGUAAAGCGCACGUAGGCCGGUUUGUAAGUCAGGGGUGAAAUCCCGGGGCUCAACCUCGGAACUGCCUUUGAUACUGCGAACCUAGAGUCCGGAAGAGGUGGGUGGAAUUCCUAGUGUAGAGGUGAAAUUCGUAGAUAUUAGGAAGAACACCGGUGGCGAAGGCGGCCCACUGGUCCGGUACUGACGCUGAGGUGCGAAAGCGUGGGGAGCAAACAGGAUUAGAAACCCUGGUAGUCC